GGAGGGAUUACCAGUGGGGAUGCUUAAGGAAUUCGGUGACUCUAUGAGAGAUGCAUUGCUAAUACGCCAGAGUUUUUUGGAUCUUCGAGAUAAUUUUAGAAUGGUUGUUGAUCCUACUUUGCAAUCUAAUACUAAAGGUCUCAAAGCUCGAAAGCAAGUUGUAUUAGAUGGGCCUGUGAGUUCUGGUAAGAGUAUUGCCCUUGCAAUGCUUGUUAAUUGGGCACGUGAUGAAGGUUGGCUAGUUCUUUAUGUUCCUAAAGGCCGAGAAUGGACUCAUGGAGGCUUUUUCUAUAAAAAUCCUAAAACAGGAUUAUGGGAUACUCCUGUGCAAGCAGCAAAUGUUCUCCAGGAUUUCUUGAAGUAUAAUAAGGAUCACCUCCAAAAGAUACCCUGCAAAAUUUUUGAACCUAUUCCAUUGGGAGAGGGAGCUGGUGUUGGAUGGAUGAAGGGUGCUGAUGUGGUACAAAUACCAGAAGAUUAUACUCUUCUUGACCUGGUUCAGAUCGGGCUUAAUUCGACUCACGCGGCUGUUGGGGUGCUAGUUCGUUUGAGGGAAGAAUUAUCCCUUGUCAAGGACGUGCCUGUUCUUAUUGCCGUUGAUCAAUACAACAGUUGGUUCACAUUCAGCGAGUAUGAGGAGCCAGUAACUGUUCGUUCUUGCCGACCUAUUCAUGCUAGAGAACUUGCAACUGUGAAUGCAUUUAGGUCCAUGAUUCAUGACAAUAUGAUGGUGGGUGCUUUCUCGCAUUCAACUGCUGUAGGGAAGCUACGCAAAGACUUACCAGAUGUUCCUGCAGAUGCUCGCGUCAAUUUCCCACGUUAUAGUGUGGAUGAAGCUGCAUCAGUUUGUCAUUACUACCUGAGACAACGACUCAUUCAGCGUGAGGCAUUUACAGAACAAAGCUGGAAGAAAAUCUAUUAUCUUUCAAAUGGAAAUGGUUCAGAAAUGAGAUGGCUGGUUCCUUUCAUGAGAUGAACCACAAAGAAUCGAUCUUCAACAGAUAACUUUGAGAUUUUAACCUGUAUUGCAUCUGUUAGUGCUCUGUGAAUCUGGUCAUUCUCAGCAACAAAUAAUCUGGCUGCUUUCUUGACGAACUCUCUAAGUGAGGUUUGCUUCUUGAAAUUUUGCUCUGUACUCUAGGCUAGUUUAGGCGUAUACUGCCUGUGUUUGUAUGCUUUGGUAUCCAGAACAUAACCGCAGAUUCAUAUAUACAUCAUUACACUGGGCUAUUGUUCUUUCCAAUUUCUUUUGCUUGUUUUUUCUGACCUGAUGUAUUAAUUCAAUAAUGUUGUA
rnacentral:misc_RNA from 1 species